rnacentral:rRNA from 1 species
UACAGAGGGUGCUAGCGUUAAUCGGAUUUACUGGGCGUAAAGCGUGUGUAGGCGGUUUGUUAAGUCGGGUGUGAAAUCCCUGGGCUCAACCUGGGAAUUGCAUUCGAUACUGGCAAGCUAGAGUACGGUAGAGGGCGGCGGAAUUCCAGGUGUAGCGGUGAAAUGCGUAGAUAUCUGGAGGAAUACCGGUGGCGAAGGCGGCAUCCUGGACCGACAUUGACGCUGAACGGCGAAAGCUAGGGGAGCAAACGGG